rnacentral:lncRNA from 1 species
GUGAGUUAAAAGCGUGAGUUUUGAAUUUUUUCCUCUUUCCCAAAAUACCGGUCCCUAUUAAUAUAAUUCCAAUAACAUACUAAUAAUAUCAUUCAUUCAACUUUAAUGGAAUAAAUCACAGUCCUACAAUUAUUAUUUUAUUUUUUAAUUAUCAUAAAAUAUAUUAAUUUUUAGUCAUUAGAUCUAAUCCAACAACUGACGAAUUAAGUAUCUGUCACUUUUUUUACCUAAAUUGCCAUCAAAUAGUACGUAUGAAGUUUCACUUUUUAUAUGCAUGACAUAUCUUUUAAUAACCGCCGCCCAUAUAAUAUCAUAUUUUAUAUAACAAAUAAUAUUUGCAUUUCUAAAUAUUUAUUUCUCACACAUAAUAUCCGCCACCUAUAUAAUAUCCAAUCACAUAAUACCUUCCGCAUAAAUAAUAUUUAAUCAUAUUUUUUAAAAGGUGAAUAUAUAAAAAUUAUCUCAAUUUUACCUAUUAAUAUUUGAAAUAUGAGAUAUUUUUUCAAUAAAAUAUAACAUAUAAAUUUACAAUUUAAAAAUUUAAAUUUGUAGAUAAAUAUGAUUCACAAAUUGAUAUUGAUUUGAGAUAAUUAUUAAAAUAAUUGUUGACACAGACAAACCUUUUUUUAAUCGGAAAAAGUAUUGCAUUUCAUUUGCGAGAAUAGAAAGAAAUUUAUACUUAUCCAAAUUUUUGUCAACCGAAGGAUAUUUGCUGUAGAAUAUUUUUCACAAGCGCCCCAUAAAAUAAUAUUCCAUACUUAUCAAAA